GACGAACGCUGGCGGCGUGCUUAACACAUGCAAGUCGAACGGAAAGGCCCUGCUUUUGUGGGGUGCUCGAGUGGCGAACGGGUGAGUAACACGUGAGUAACCUGCCCUUGACUUUGGGAUAACUUCAGGAAACUGGGGCUAAUACCGGAUAUGAGCUCCUGCUGCAUGGUGGGGGUUGGAAAGUUUCGGCGGUUGGGGAUGGACUCGCGGCUUAUCAGCUUGUUGGUUGGGUAGUGGCUUACCAAGGCUUUGACGGGUAGCCGGCCUGAGAGGGUGACCGGCCACAUUGGGACUGAGAUACGGCCCAGACUCCUACGGGAGGCAGCAGUGGGGAAUAUUGCACAAUGGGCGGAAGCCUGAUGCGGCAACGCCGCGUGCGGGAUGACGGCCUGCGGGUUGUAAACCGCUUUCGCCUGUGACGAAGCGUGAGUGACGGUAAUGGGUAAAGAAGCACCGGCUAACUACGUG
rnacentral:rRNA from 1 species